rnacentral:rRNA from 1 species
AUGCUGAGGCGGCGGCUGAGCUCCCUUCUCCUCCGAUCCCCGUGCUCCUCCUCCGCCGUCGCUUCCUCCUACCAGCAGCAGCAGCACCUCCUCCUCCCCACCCACGCCGAGAAACCGCCGGCCCUGAAUCUGCUCAGGCUCUUCACAUCCCUAGCUGGAACCGAUGGGGACAGGCCGUUCAUCGCUUUUGUCUUGGGGGGACCUGGGAGUGGGAAAGGAACGCAAUGUAGUAGGAUCGCUUCGGAUUUUGGAUUUGCUCAUGUGAGUGCUGGUGACCUUCUACGGAAUGAAAUAGCUUCUGGCACUGAUCAUGGGGAGUGGAUCCUAGAGAUAAUAAGGGAAGGGAGGAUUGUUCCAUCAGAGAUAACUGUUGAACUCGUCAGAAAAGCAAUUGAAUCAAGCUCUGCUAAAAGGGUUCUUAUUGAUGGUUUCCCAAGGUGUGAGGAAAACAGAAUUGCCUUUGAAAAAAUAACUGGAACUGAACCAGACCUUGUGCUUUUCUUUGACUGUCCUGAGGAUGAGAUGGUUAAACGUCUCCUAAGCCGUAACCAGGGACGAGUUGAUGAUAACAUUGAGACAAUCAAGAAGCGUCUAAAAGUAUUCGAGAGUUUGAAUCUUCCUGUUGUUGAGUACUACUCUUCAAGGGGAAAGGCACACAAGAUAAAUGCAACGGGAACUGAAGAUGAAAUCUUUGAAGCAGUUCGCAAGUUGUUUUCCUCCUUAAGGCUAUGA